GCGUUGGUGGUUCAUUGGUAGAAUUCUCGCCUGCCACGCGCGAGACCGGGGUUCGAUUCCCCGCCAACGCA
rnacentral:tRNA from 1 species